UAGGGAAGCUUCCCUAAUGGACGGAAGUCUGACCGAGCAACGCCGCGUGAGUGAAGAAGGUUUUCGGAUCGUAAAGCUCUGGUGUAAGAGAAGAACGAGUGUGAGAGUGGAAAGUUCACACUGUGACGGUAUCUUACCAGAAAGGGACGGGUAACUACGUGCCAGCAGCCGCGGUAGUGCGGGGGUCCCGAGCGUUGUCCGGAUUUAUUGGGCGUAAAGCGAGCGGAGGCGGUUAGAUAAGUCUGAAGUUAAAGGCUGUGGCUUAACCAUAGUAGGCUUUGGAAACUGUUUAACUUGAGUGCAAGAGGGGAGAGUGGAAUUCCUUGUGUAGCGGUGAAAUGCGUAGAUAUAUGGAGGAACGCCGGUGGCGAAAGCGGCUCUCUGGCUUGUAACUGACGCUGAGGCUCGAAAGCGUGGGGAGCAAACAGGAUUAGAUACCCUGGUAGUCCACGCUGUAAACGAUGAGUGCUAGGUGUUAGACCCUUUCCCGGGUUUUAGUGCCGUAGCUAACGCAUUAAGCACUCCGCCUGGCGAGUACGAAGGCGAGGGUG
rnacentral:rRNA from 1 species